rnacentral:rRNA from 1 species
AACUCUCAACGAUGGAUGCCUCGGCUCGAGAAUCGAUGAAGGGCGCAGCGAAGUGCGAUAAGCACUGCGAUUUGCAGAAUUCCGUGAACCAGUAGAAAUCUCAACGCAUACUGCACAAAGGGGAUCUUUCCUCUUUGUACAUACAUAUCAGUGUCGCUC